CUUUAUUAGAGGUGACGCCUGCCCAAUGCUUUACAUUAACUCUAACUUACACUAGAUAAACCCGAAGUCAAUGGCCGCGGUAUUUCUGACCGUGAUAAUGUAGCGAAAUCAAUCGUCACUUAAUUGCUGACCGGUAUGAAUGGUAUCACGAAUAUUCCCCUGUCUCUAGAAAAGAGUCCGUGAAAUUGAAGGGGUUGUGCAUAUACAGCCCAUUUCUUGUAAGACGAAAAGACCCUAUUGAGCUUUACUAUACGCUCCUCUCUCUAAAAAAGAUAACUCUAACCGAAGACUCUUUAAUAUAGGGGAGUGAGGUAGUUUCGUUGGGGCGACGGCCUUCCAAAAAGUAACGAAGGCUAGCAAAGAUCUCUCAAAAAUGAGAUAAAUUUGACUGCUAGGGCUAUCCCCCGCGCAGACAUAAUUGUGGGCCAUAAAUUUCCAUUCAAACUAAAAAGAGUGCCAAAACAUAAAAGUUACCAUAGGGAUAACAGCGUAAUUUUACCGAAGAGCUCCUAUCGAUGGUAAAGAUUGCGACCUCGAUGUUGAAUUGUGGUAUCCUGAGGGUGUAGCCGCUCUC
rnacentral:rRNA from 1 species